CGCCAAAGAGCUAGCCCCCCCCCCCCAACCCCAAAAACCAAUAUUAAUACCCCUAAACGUAUCAAAGACCAACUUAAACAAACCAUUUUUCCUCCUUAGUAUGGGAGACAGAAAAGGAA
rnacentral:rRNA from 1 species